GAAAUACCACCCUUGUAGUGUUGAUGUUCUAACGUUGACCCCUAAUCGGGGUUGCGGACAGUGCCUGGUGGGUAGUUUGACUGGGGCGGUCUCCUCCCAAAGAGUAACGGAGGAGCACGAAGGUGGGCUAAUCACGGUUGGACAUCGUGAGGUUAGUGCAAUGGCAUAAGCCCGCUUGACUGCGAGAAUGACAAUUCGAGCAGGUGCGAAAGCAGGUCAUAGUGAUCCGGUGGUUCUGAAUGGAAGGGCCAUCGCUCAACGGAUAAAAGGUACUCCGGGGAUAACAGGCUGAUACCGCCCAAGAGUUCAUAUCGACGGCGGUGUUUGGCACCUCGAUGUCGGCUCAUCACAUCCUGGGGCUGAAGUCGGUCCCAAGGGUAUGGCUGUUCGCCAUUUAAAGUGGUACGCGAGCUGGGUUUAGAACGUCGUGAGACAGUUCGGUCCCUAUCUGCCGUGGGCGUUGGAAGAUUGAAGGGGGCUGCUCCUAGUACGAGAGGACCGGAGUGGACGAACCUCUGGUGUUCGG
rnacentral:rRNA from 1 species